GUGCCAGCCGCCGCGGUAACACGUAGGGACCAAGCGUUGUCCGGAUUCAUUGGGCGUAAAGAGCUCGUAGGCGGCUCAGUAAGUCGGGUGUGAAACCUCCAGGCUCAACCUGGAGACGCCACCCGAUACUGCUGUGGCUAGAGUCCAGUAGGAGAGCGUGGAAUUCCUGGUGUAGCGGUGAAAUGCGCAGAUAUCUAUCGGAACGCCGAAGGUGAAGACAGGCCGCUGGGCCGACUCUGACGCUGAGGUACGAAAGCGUGGGUAGCGAACGGGAUUAGAUACCCCGGUAGUCCACGCCGUAAACGAUGUGCACUAGAUCGAGGAGAUUCUGACAUCAUUCUCGGUCGAAGCAAAAGUGUUUAGUGCACCGCCUGGGGAGUACGGUCGCAAGGCUAAA
rnacentral:rRNA from 1 species